rnacentral:rRNA from 1 species
AGUGAACGCUGGCGGUAGGCCUAACACAUGCAAGUCGAACGGCAGCACAGUAAGAGCUUGCUCUUACGGGUGGCGAGUGGCGGACGGGUGAGGAAUACAUCGGAAUCUACUUUUUCGGGGGGGAUAACGUAGGGAAACUUACGCUAAUACCGCAUACGACCUACGGGUGAAAGCAGGGGAUCUUCGGACCUUGCGCGAUUGAAUGAGCCGAUGUCGGAUUAGCUAGUUGGCGGGGUAAAGGCCCACCAAGGCGACGAUCCGUAGCUGGUCUGAGAGGAUGAUCAGCCACACUGGAACUGAGACACGGUCCAGACUCCUACGGGAGGCAGCAGUGGGGAAUAUUGGACAAUGGGCGCAAGCCUGAUCCAGCAAUACCGCGUGGGUGAAGAAGGCCUUCGGGUUGUAAAGCCCUUUUGUUGGGAAAGAAAAGCAGCAGGUUAAUACCCCGCUGUUCUGACGGUACCCAAAGAAUAAGCACCGGCUAACUUCGUG